UCAUUUAGUCUUAUGAGCUCAAGCAUGGCGAUUUGGGCUUCAAUUAUCAAAAAUUAGGGCUCCGUUGUGCUAAUCGAUCGAAUGGGCGUUCCAUCCAUAGAAAGAUGGUUAGGGUUUUUGAAGGCAUGAAGGGGACUUUAUCGAACCAAGGUGAUUCUCCGUCACUUACCACCGUCCAUCACGGAGUCCAUGCUUGUCGAACAAGUCGAUUGUGCCUUUUUUGGCCGUUACAGUUGGCUCUCCUUCGUCCGGGAAGAGUAGUCAGAAGAAUCUUUCUUAAUCUAGAGCGUAUGUGGACUUCAAGAGGCCAGAGGAUGUUUUGGAGUUUGCGGAGUUCUUAAUGGUCAUGUGUUGUUAAUGAGAAGGGGGCUCAGUGUAAAGUAGUUGUUGAGUAUGCACCUUCUCAACAUGUUCCAAGGAAGUGGUCUAAAAGGGAUGGUCGUGAAGUUACCAUAUCCAAAGAUCCUGAGUAUUUGGAGCUCCUUGAAUUUCUUGGAAAGCCAGCUGAGAAUCUUCCUAGUGUAGAGAUACAGUUAGAGAGAAGGGAGGCAGAAAGAGCUGGUGUAUCAAAGGAUACUCCAAUAAUUACACCUUUAAUGGAUUUUGUUAGACAAAAAAGAGCUGCUAAGGGCGCCUCUCUGAGGUCACUGUCUAAUGGGAAACUGAGCAAAAGAGCUGGUCGGUUAUCUGUUGGAACACUUCUUUGAGUAUAGUUGAAGGUUUAAGCCCUUUGCCAGGUAAUGCCUUGAAUGUUCACCUUGAAUUUGUUUGGGUGGUUGCCAAGUUAACUCAAGACUCAAAAUGUGCAUUAAAUUUGUGCUAACUUAUUUGAACUAGGAAAGUGUUUAUUCACUUGAAUUUUGAGCAUGCAGUUGAAUAUGCAUUCGCUUAGCAUGAUGUCUCGGCAACAAAGUAGAGAAAAGGUUCGUUGACCUAUAGAGGUUGCAGAUAUGAUUGUAAGUAAUAAUCUGGUGAAGAAACCCUGGUUUUAAUAAUUGGUGGAUUGAAGAAACCUUGAUCUUAGUCAAAGAUGGCUGAGAAAUAUGAAGUUAUCAUUCUGUAAUCGCAUGGAACCAUUGUUUUUUCCGGUCGCUGCAGGCCUUUGCAGAUAUUGUUCAGUUGAGGUAUUAUGAAUCCAUUAACUCAACUGGAACUAUAAAUAUAAAUGCAGUGCUGUGUGUACGGUGUGGGUUGUUUCUUUUCCUUUUAAAUUAUAAAUGGGUUAUUAUGAAGAAGAGAAGAG